GUCAAGGAUUAUUUUAUUAAAAGCUUUUUAUAGCAAUUGUUAAAGCUUUUUUCCAAUUGUUGUCCAACAUUUACUACGAUUUAUUGGAAAUAAAUCUGUUGUACGACUGCGGUGUAGUUACGACCAGAUAAUAUGCAGAUGGUAAAAAUACGAUUGCAGAAUCCCUACUAGAUAAUAUGAACUUGGUCAAGAUACGAUUGUGGCAUCCCUAUAAUGUUUACAUUUGAAACAUCAAGCCGCUAAAUUGUAAAAUAAAAAGUCAUGUUGAAAAAUAUUAAGUGAGUUGCUCAUCUCCACAGCCCAAGGGUGGCUGUCACAAAGCCAACUCUUUUCGCGCAACCUGUGUAGUGUAAAAGAGUUGGGAAUAUCUAUAUGGAAGGCAAUAAGAAAGGUAUUAAGGGAUGUAUGUUGAAAUCUUUGGAUUGGCAAGAAAAUAUUUACAUUAGAAACACAACAGCAAAAUUUAUCAGCCAGGAUAUAAAAAUGUAUUACAUUGUUGUUGUCCAAUGUCAAAGGCAAUCGGAAAACUAGUGUGUUUUGGUGUCAAAGGUUUUGUUGGAUAUUUGCAACAGGCAUUUGUCUUGGCCAGAAAUACAACAACAUAAAGGAAAAAUGGAUAAUGGAGAUUUUAGGAAAAGGAGAAGUAUUUUCCAAUCAGUUUAUUUGUUAUAUUAAGAUUGUAACAAGUGUUUGUUUUGUUUCCAGGUACACGUUUAUGAACGUAUGGAAUGCAUUUUUUGGUGUGCUAUGAAUGACGUAGAAUGUGAGCAGGUAUAUUGGCUACUCUACUCUAUUGGUCCAGUUGGGAAUUUAUUGCGGAUGUGAAACAUUCAUGGAAGAUAUAUGAAAUAUUCAAGUUAUUGAAUACUGAUUGUAAUAAAUGCAAUAUGUUUUACAAAAAGCAAAUGAUUCUACGGCCAUAUAUUUACCCUACAUAGUAGACGUAUUGAAAAUGACAAACUAAAUGCCUUAUAUAUUCAGAUGUGUGGUGUUGUGUGCUUGUAGAUAAUAACAAACGAACAUGUUGACGGAAAAAGGAAAGUAUUAUUCCAAUUGAAUUUGUGUUGCCAUCAAAAUGUUUAUGAAGUUUCUUUUUUUUUAGGUAAUCAUUGACGGAAAUCUAAAAUCUAUGAGAAUAUUGACAGUUGGUUUCAUGCGAAUAUCGUUAUAGUAAAUUGGCGAAUUUGAAGAUAAGUAUAUUUUGAAAUUGAUUAUGCUAUUGUUACUAAUAUUUUCUUUCUAUUUUCAGGUUCUGAUAUGAAGUUAUUUCUGGUUAUUAAUAGUUUUCUUUCUUUUUCAGGUAGUUGCAGAAAUUAUUUCAUAAUGGAUCAAUUGAAGGGAGCAAUCAACAUAACAACAAAAUAUACUGUAGGUUUUGGUGAGAAAAGUAGUUAUUAAGAUUAAUAUUAGUUAUAAGAGUAGGUGCUAAUACUAUUGCUUGAGGUGUUGUGCGUGGAUAGUUCCUAUUGGAUCGCCUUUAAGAUUUUCAAUUUGGUAUAGGCAGUUUCCUAGGGCUUUUCGUAUCCUACAUUUAAUCCACGGUUUACAGAGUUUAGAAUUUAUACCUUUUGCAAAAUUGCUUUGCACAAAAUUCUUUCGGAAGACUUCCUGUCCAGGUUUGUAGGUUAUAAAUCUACUUCUCUUGUUAUAUGAUCUUGUGUUUCGUUCAUAGGCUUCAUGUAUCUUUUUGUUGAUCUUGUUGUGCAUUAUUUGCAUUUGGUCGGAUUUAGGUAACAAAACUAUUUCACCGUCUUCUAAGGCGUUUAGUUUCUUUAGAAUCUUGUAUGCAUCUGCAUGAGUAAUCAUUUGAUAGCCUGUUAAAGCGAAGUAUGGAGUUGUACCUGUAGAAGCAUGAAUUGUUGAGCGUAGUGCACAUUCAAUUUUGGGCAACUUUUCAUCCCAUUUUGCGUGAUCUUUCUGUAGGUAACUACGAAUGCUACUAAGGAUUGUUUGGUUUACCCUUUCGCUUGCAUUAGAUUGUGGUGCAUGUAUUGCAGUACGAAUGUGUUGUAUGCCAAACAUUUUCAUUAGCUCUUUAAAUGCUUCAGAGGUAAAUUGUUUUCCAUUAUCUGAAUGGAUACAUUCGGGAACUCCGAAUUUAUAAAAUACCUCUUCGACAAGAAAUUUAUUUACUUGAGAAACGGUUGCUUUAGUCAUUGUU